rnacentral:rRNA from 1 species
AUUGAACGCUGGCGGCAUGCCUUACACAUGCAAGUCGAACGGUAACAGGUCUCCGGAUGCUGACGAGUGGCGAACGGGAGAGUAAUACAUCGGAACGUGCCUAGCAGUGGGGGAUAACUACUCGAAAGAGUGGCUAAUACAGCAUGAGAGCUACGGAUGAAGGAAGGGGAUCGCAACACCUUGUGGUACUAUAGCGGUCGAUGGCAGAUUAGGUAGUUGGUGGGAUAAAAGCUUACCAAGCCGACGAUCUGUAGCUGGUCUGAGAGGACGAUCAGCCACACUGGGACUGAGAGACGGCCCAGACUCCUACGGGAGGCAGCAGUGGGGAAUUUUGGACAAUGGGCGAAAGCCUGAUCCAGCAAUGCCGCGUGCAGGAUGAAGGCCGUCGGGUUGUAAACUGCUUUUGUACGGAACGAAAAGCCCCGGGUUAAUACCCUGGGGUCAUGACGGUACCGUAAGAAUAAGCACCGGCUAACUACGUGCCAGCCGCCGCGGUAA